AUGAAACUCAAGAUCCCAGACAAGAAACUUAAAGAUUUAUCACAAAACCUACCAGUUGAUGCUUCUGGGAGGACUAAUCUACAUCAACUGAUAAAAGAAGUAAAGAAGUUUACAGGAGGAGAAAUUGAAGCCAAAGACAUACAAAAAGUACUCAGAAAUAUGGGGAUAGAACUCACAAAUAGGGAACUUUGGGAGCUGCUGAAAAUGUUGCCAGUUACCGAUGAUGGAAAAGUAUAUAAAAAUAUAUUGCUUGAUAAUAUAAAAACAUCUCCUGUUGGGAAAUUCCAUGUCUCUAAAAUGAAUGCCAUCCUAGAAGAUAUGGAUUAUGAACUAGAGGAUGAAGAGGUUGAGGACCUGAGGAACCACCUGCCAACUGCUGAUGAAAAGAUUAAGCUGAAUACGAUGAUGAAAGAUGUAGAAUUAUUUACAGGAACCAAGACUAAUGUUAAUGAGAUAGAUGCUGUUUUGAAAAGCAUGGGAAUAGAGCUCACUCCUAAGGAACGCUGGGAGCUGCUAAAGACUCUGCCGGUUACUGCCGACGGAAAGGUGUAUCACAAUCGAUUACUAAACGCUUUAAAGAAUUUCCACAGAGGGAAGGCUUUUGAAAAUAAACUUGAAACUAUUCUGGAAAACAUGAACUAUGAACUUGGAGAAAAAGAAAUGAAAGAUUUACAGAACCACUUGAAAACUGAUGAUAAAGGAAGAGUUUCCCUGAAUUCUUUGAUAAAUGCAGCCAAUUUGUUUUCUGGUAAUAAGAUUAAUGCCAGUGACACACAACUUUACCUGAAAAAUAUAGGUAUUGAAUUAACAAAUAAUGAAAACCAGGAACUACUAGACACACUGCCACUGGAUGAUAAUAAAAGAGUGUAUGCAAACAGACUGAUGGAGGGGGUGAAGACCUAUGGAGGAGGACAGGUCAAUGUCAAUAAAAUAGAUGAUACUCUUGAAAACAUGGGAUUUUCACUUGAAGAAAAAGAAAUUGAGGAAUUGUAUAGUCACCUUCCAAUUAAUGAUGAAGGAAAAAUUCAACUGAAAUCACUUCUGGAUGAAGCAAAUAAAAUUUUAGGAGAAGAAAUUGACCGUGGUGACCUGGAAAAUGUUCUGCAAAGCAUAGGCUUAAGUCCCCACCUGAAGGAAAACUCUGUGCUGAUGAAGACUUUGCCACUUGACGCUACUGGAAAGUUGUAUAAGCAUAAAUUGCUGGAUGGCAUAAAGUCUCUCCCAGGUUUGAAGCUUAAUGUUCGCAAGCUAGAACCCUUCAUGGACUACAUGGGCUUUCACCUUGGAGAAGAGGAAUUCCAAGACCUGACAGACAGCCUGCCCGUGGAUAAGGAAGGAAUGGUUAAUAUGAAUGUGGUAAUGGAUGCAGGAGAUCUUUUUACAGGUGAGAAGGUUGCCACUAGUAACCUGGAAGAUUUCCUGGAAACUAUGGGGAUAAGCCUCACCGAGGAUAAAGCCAAGAAACUACGGCAUAAUCUGCCAGCUGAUGCCAAAGGAAGUGUGUAUAAGAACAGAUUGAUGAAAGCCCUGGAGAGUCUCAAAGGGACAAAGGUGUCUUCAGAUAAGGCGGAAAUUUUUAUUAAAAAUGCAGGAAUUGAUCUCAAGAAGAAAGAAAUCCAAGCACUGAAGGACCAUCUGCUAGUUGACGAUAAUGGGAAGGUUGAUUUGAAUGUGUUGAUGGCUGAAAUUAAAAAGAUUACAGGAGAAAAGUUUCAUGCUGGGGACCUGAAAAAUGUUUUGGGCAACAUGGGAAUACACAUCACAGACAAAGAGCACAAAAAGCUGCUGAAAACUCUGCCCAUUUCUGGAGGAAAGGUCAAUAUCCGUGACUUAAAAAAUGUGUUACAAAACACUGGCUUCACACUUGAAGAAACAGAAAUCAAAGACCUGCAGGCUCACCUACCAGCUAAUGAAUAUGAAAAGGUUGACUUGGAUGUGCUGAUGGAUGAAGCAAAAGCUUUCACAGGAGAAAAGGUUGCAGCCACGAACCUAAAACAUGUGCUGGAAGACAUGGGAAUCAGACUCACUGCAGAAGAAUAUUCGAGGCUGUUGAAAACUCUGCCCAUCUCUAGAGAUGGAAUGGUGUAUAAGAAAAGAUUACUGGAUGGUGUGAAGGCUCUCAAAGGGAAAAAAGUCUAUGUUCAUGAGCUAGAAACACUUAUGGAGAGCUUGGAACUUGAACUUGGAAAAGGGGAUUAUGAAGACCUACUCAGCUAUCUGCCAGUUGAUGAGAAUGAAAUGGUUGAUUUAAAUGAGGUGAUGGAUGAAGCAAACACUUUUACAGGAGAGAAGGUUGAUGUUGGUGACCUGGACAAGGUCCUGUGGAAAAUGGGGCUUACACUCAGUGAUGGGGAACAGAAGAAGCUGCUCCGAGCUCUCUCCCCGUACACCGACAGGAAGGUGUAUAAGAAGAGGGUGCUGCAGAGUGUGAAGGGCCUCCAUGGACCACGGGUCAAAGUAAAAAAAGUGGAAUCUCUUUUGGAAAAUAUGGGAAUUAAAAUUACAGACGAAGAACUUGAGGAAGUAAUGACCCAACUACCAACUGACAGUGAUAGAACUGUCGCUCUGAAGGAUCUAAUAGACACGGUCAGUUAUGUCAAGGGAGAGGUGAUUGAUACCGAGAACUUAGUCAACUUUCCAGCAAGAGAGGGGAUUGAACUCACAGAAGAAGAAAUAAAGGACCUGAUGCCUCAUUUGACAUAUAAUGGAAAAGGAAAAGUUACUGUGGAUUCAGUAAUGGAGGGUCUGAAGAAGAUUACACACCCAGUCACUGGCCACAUGGCAGUUUCAGAACUCAAAUCAAAACUUAAACUGAACCCUCUAAAAGUACCUGUCUUCCACAGCAAGAGGGAUAAAGAUCUACCGAGGUCCCUUCCAGGCCAGCCACACCACAAAGAAAAGUUGAGCCCACCACAAAUGGAAGCCUUCCAAGACGCCUACAACUUCUUCAGCAAGGACAAAACUGGAUGUAUUGAUCUGAAUGGGAUGAUGAGUACUUUGGCUAAGUUAGGAAUGAGUCUAACCAAGCACGAUGUCUAUAAUGAACUAAAAUGUGCUGACCUUGAUCGAGAUGGGAAGGUGAACUUCUCAGACUUCUUAAAGGUGCUGACAGAUAAGAACCGCUUCCUCAAAGCUGUGGUUCCGGAAAAGGACAUCUGUUUAAAUUUAAGUGACAACGCAGGGAUCCUAUUAUUUGAAAUCCUAUCAAAGCUUAUAGAGACUUCAGCCCUACCCAGAAAGACUAUAAUGGACAUAGUAAGCUACUUCCGAAGAAAAUUCCAGGAUAUCAGUGCAGAAAUGCUGUGGAAUCCGAGUGCUGUGGGUUAUGGGAAAAGAAGGUUUAAGCCAGAUGUGUGCACGACUUCCAGCUCAAGCACAGCGGCCUUCGCCAGUGCUGCCCGCAUUGCAAUUACAAGUGAAAAGGAUUUAUUUAAAUUUCUUGAAGAGCUUAAGAGGUGCAAUUUCCCUUCAGACAGCCCGUACUCGAAAAUACCCAUCUUCCCGUUGUUCCCUAACAUGGAUGGUAUGGUGAUGGGAAAACCUUUCAAAGACACACAGAAAUUAGAGAUGCUAAGGAGAAAAGAGCCCCUGAAUUUCUUUGAGGACUACUUUUUCCAUAGAAGAGACUGGAAAGCACAGGCAGCCAAUGUAAAGCCUAUCAACCCUCCCUUGAGCUACUCGGAUGACAUCCUUAUCCUCGACCAAAUACUCAAGAAAAAGCAGAUGUGGACAGUGGCCGACACAGCUGCUGUUAAGCAGCAGGUGAAGAGAGCUACAGACACCUAUCAUUUAGGAAUUGCCCUUGAACACCAGAAAGGAAUGCUCAAUCUCUGGCAGAAGAUCCGAGGGGAUUUGAUUGGAAUAGACACUAAAAAUGAGUCUUUCUAUGACACCUUUUCUACUUAUACCUGGUCCUGGAACGUUUGCCAAGAAUUGCUCUCUCCGAAGGACUUACGGUUGUUUAAUGCUUACGUGAACAGAAAUUCCUACCCCACCUAUGGCUUCUCUUCCUCAUCAGAUAACAGUGAAUGUGACUCCGAGACCGAAAGGAAAAGAAAACGGAAAAAUUGCAAAGGGUUUCGACAAUGAAAUUUCUACAUUUUCUAAACAGCUCAUCGAAAACUACUUUUUCAUAAGUAUCAAAAUUAUGGUUUCUUGCUUUUCUCUAGUACAUUCUUAGCAGCUGGAAAUGUUGACAUCUUUUGGAUUCCAGCCAGUAAAACAGCUUAACUCAUAAAAUGGUUUCGUUUUCCUAAAUCUUGACAAGUCGGCAGACGUCAUGCGGUUAGUUCCAGCUGUAUUCUGCUGCCCCCGCCUGGCAUAAAAGUGACAGGCCUCAGCAGGAAAGGGAGAAAUCACGCCCUCUGAGACCCUAAGGGAUAAACAGUUGAGCUUUGGGUGACUGUAAGUGAAAUUCAGUUUUCAAAUGCUGUGAAAUAAGCCAGAGGCAGCAGAUGACUAUAAACUUGCCAUUUCGGGGGGUGAUAUCACCAACCCCGCCCCAGGAACCUUGUUUAAAUGUGGGCGUAUUCCUGAGGCUCCACAGCCAUACACCUCCACACCUAUUGCAUGGAUUUCUCUUACAAAUAGUCGAUCUCAUCCAUUAAAUGUUGUUAUUCUUUAAUGAAUCUAAUAUAUAUAUAUAUGAUAUAAAUAUAUCAUAUAUAUGGCAAGUUUGUGCUAGGAUUGUAAUUUUUACUAUGGUAAAAUUUACAUGACAUAAAAUUUACUAUUUUUUAAAUUUUUAUUAUAAUUUACUAUUGAUUAAUGUUAAAGUAUACAUCAAUCAUUGCAUUUUUAUUCUUCCUAGUCCCACUCCUGGGAUUCAUAGGGCAUUUUUCCAUGGGUCUUGAGGGUUGAUCACACAGAAACAGACAACUUUUGGACUUUACCAAAUUUUUUAAUUGUUUAAUUUAAUUAGUAUAAUUUAGAUAUCUACAGUGACCCCAUUCAUCAUAGGGAAUUUGCACCUGUACAUAAUAUACCUUGAUUUGUCUUUUUCCCCUCCCUUCAACCCCUUGUCCCCUCCUUAUUUACAAAGCUUUGUUUCCAUUUUAUCCUCCUUUUCUCAGAUUUUCUUCCCCCUUUCCCCUUCCCCAGUUCCCUUCCCUUUUGGGCAGCUGCUUCCCAUUUCACCAGAUCUCUUGUACAAUUUAGUUCUUAUUUACACUUUUGGUUUCUCACACCAGUGAGGCAAUGCAAUAUUUACACACGUGUAUACAAUUUAUUUCACUUAAGAGCACAGUCUCAGGGCCCAUCCAUUUAGCAAUAAAUGUCACAAGUUUAUCCUUCAUUAUGGCAGAGUAGUAGUCCAUUUUAUUUUAAAAAAAAAAACAUCUUUUUUAUCCAUUCCUCAGUUGACGGGCAUCUGAGUUGUUUCCAAGAUUUAGCUAUUACAAAUUGUGCUGCUAUAAACAUGGGUGUGCUUGUAUCAUUGUGGUAUGAUGCUUUUAAUUCUUUUGGGAAAAUACCCAGAAGAAGAAUAGCUGGUGAAAUGGGGCCUCUAGUCUUAGUUUUUGAGGAAUCUCCACACUGAUUUCCACAGUGGCUGCAGAAGUCUACACCCCAACAAAGUAGAGAAGGGUUCCCUUUUCCCCACAGCCCAGCCAGCAUUUGUUGUGGGUUGAUUUCAUAAUAGUCGUUCUUUCUGGAGUGAGAUGGAAUCUCAGGGUUGUUUUAAUUUGCAGCUCUUGAAUGAUCAAUGAUCCCACACUAAAUCUUAUAUUAACCUUCUGAUCUACUAUCAGAAAGUCAAAUAUGUGUUAUUUCCUCUGCUAGUUUUGAUCUUAAAAAUGUAAGGAAUUACAUCAACUGUGGUUCUGGGGGGGAGUUUUAGGGGGGUACCAGGAACCGAACUCAGGACCUCACUCUUGCCAGGCAGGAGCUGAACAUCAACUAUUUGUAACAAUUAUCCAAGCGACUAGUUUGCAGGUGUGUGGGUAAGGCCAUUCCAAUUACCAUCUAGAAUAAAUAUUUUUAAAUCAUUAUUCUAGAAAAACAUGAUGCACGAAAAAGAAAAGGAACCAGGUGUGGUGGCACAUGCCUGAAAUCCAAGCUCCUGGCAGACUGAGGCAGAAGGAUCACCAUGAGUUUGGGACCGGCAUGGGCUCCAUAGUGAGCUCAAGGCCAGCCUGCACUGCAUAAAGCAAGAUUCUGUCUCAAAAAAUCAAAAAAAAAAAAAAAAUCAAGAAGAUAUUGAUAAUGACAGAUUACAACACAAAAGUAUAAAAUUCCAGGAAAAAGCAAUGAAGUUAACGCCCCCAAAACUCUUCACUGAAAUAGGUUUCAUGUGACUUUGUGCUACCCCGAACCCUCAGAAGUGUCUAACUACACCUGCGAGCCGAGCACAGUGCCACGUCUGUAGCCCCAGCUACUCGGAAGGCUGUGGCAGGGUAACGCGAGCCCAGCAUGAGCAAAACACAAAAACUACAUCUCCAAAACUAAAUACACACACACACACACACACACACACACACACACACACACGCAACACCAACUUCUGUGUAAAGUUCUAAUUCUUGGGAAAAGAACUAACCUUAUAGAGAAGUAACCACAUCUUUUGACCAAAAAAGUUAAUGGUUUGACAAGAGACUUUCUUGAGUUGCUGUGGGUAUGACAGAAUCCAGGACCUAUAAUUUGGAUGCCAAAAUAUUAGAAUUACUGGACUAUUUCCUUAGAUCGAUGAAUGACAGGACAAAACACUGGGGUUUUUUGCAAUGUUUUAUUGUGUUUUGUUUUAUUUUGUUUUUUGAGAUAGGGUCUUGCUGUGUAGUUGAAGCUGGCCUUGAGCUCACUGUGUAAUCCAAGCUGGCCUCAAACUCAUGGCAAUCCUUCUGCCUCAGCCUUCCAAGUGCUAGGAUUACAAGCAUGUAAUAGUGUUAAGUAGAUCUGUCCUAGAAAAUUAAAACUUAUACCAACUCUUACUAUUACAAUGUCACACACUGCAAAUGACAGUAUAAACUGGCACCUCUGAUGGAAUACAGUGUAGGAACAGGGCCUGGCAUGGUGGCACACCCCUGUAAUCCUAGCAUUCUGGGAAGCUGAGGCAG
rnacentral:lncRNA from 1 species